GGGGACCACAGCACAGCCAACCUCUCACCUCCUGAGGUACCCAGGAACCCUGCGCUGCAUCUGGUCCUGAUCCCGAACGCCCGCCUGCCCAGAUGUCCUGCCAGCAGAGCCAGCAGCAGUGCCAGCCCCCUCCCAAGUGCCCCCCCAAGUGCCCUCCCAAGUGCCAAGCCCCCAAAUGCCCCCCAAAGUGUCCCCCUAAGUGUCCUCCAGUGUCCUCCUGCUGCAUCUCCAGCUCUGGGGGCUGCUGCGGCUCCAGCUCUGGGGGUGGGGGCUGCUGCGGCUCUGGGGGUGGGGGCUGCUGCAGCUCUGGGGGUGGGGGCUGCUGCCUGAGCCACCACAGGCCCCGCAGGUCGCACCGCGGCAGACAGCAGAGCUCAGGCUGCUGCAGCCAGCCCUCGGGGGGCUCCAGCUGCUGUGGAGGGGGCGGCAGCCAGUCAUCUGGGGGCUGCUGCUGAGGGGGACCCUGAGCCUGGAAAAGCAGAAUUCAGGAGAGCAGACCGCCAAGGACAGUCUCCUCCUCCUGGGCCUGCCCCUGCGGCUCAGAUGUCCCGGGAGGAUGCUGAACUUCGUAGAACUGUUUCUCCUCCCUGAUCCCCGUUACCUGUCCUGGGACGCCAUCUUUGUGGCCACCCUCACAACCUCAGGGCAACAACCAUAGCUCAUUCAUCCUCUUCCAGUGAUUAAAAGAAUAAAACGA